GAAGUUGUAAUUUGACGUUCUAUUGAAAUUUAGCAGUUGACUAUGUCGAAGUAUCUACUCAAAGGUGUAGGAUUCAGUUGUAUUCGACACAGUCGAAUACAACAUUUAAGAUGUUAUGUCGAAGCUAAAAUAUAAGUUGUAUGUUUGGGCUUGAUUCAAUUUGUAUAGUCUUAGGUCAAGGCUUUAGUUGCCGAUAAAGGCAUUGUAUGAUUUAAAUCCUAAAAAAUUCACUCAAUACAAAUCAUAAUUUCUAUAAUUCAG
rnacentral:lncRNA from 1 species